GCAGGGAUGUUUUUGGAUAAGGGGACCGCUGACAUUUUCCGGCAGAGAGGCUGUGGCUGGGAAGGGCUCAGCAAAACUGUAAAUGUUGUUGCCACAGACACUUGCGCAACUGCUCGGUUUUCCCCACCAUCAUUUAUUACUUCAGUCUGUUGCUUCUCUCUCCUCUUGAUCCAGCUGUGGGAAACCCGAGGUUGCCCGGUGAGCCAGGAGCACAGCUUCAGAACAGAGAAGGGGUUGCCAGAGUGUGGAUGCUCUGAGUGCUGCUGUUAGAACGAGCUGCACAGGAAUCCCAGACUGGUAGGUGAAGGCUGCGCUGGCAGGACCAUGAGCAGUGUGAUGGGGACUGCGGGCACGUGGGCUCAAAACACGAGCUCUGCAUCAUCGGUAGCACUGGGGAGGUUGGGAGCUCCUGCCUGACGUGUGUGCAGGAGUGACCUUCCCACCGGUGCCUCCGCCGGGCACCCGUCCAACCCGGGGCGAUGCUCGGCUGAUGGGAUCUGCCUUGGGCAGCUCGCCACGAGGCUGCCAUCAGAGACGUCUCUGUCGAGGCCAGCCAGAGCAGCAGAUGGUCUCUCAGGCAGCAUCUCCGUGAACCUGAGUGGUUGUGCUGUGAAAACAAACUGCCAUAAGCGGAUGUUGCUCAGCUUUGCUUCCGGCAUUGCUGCUUGGCUCUCCUCAUGAGGAA